rnacentral:misc_RNA from 1 species
UCAGUUACAAAUGACAAUCUUAUUAUCAACGUGUUCAACAGCUUAGAUGAGCCUUUUCUUAUCUCCUGGAAUGGAAUUCAACAAAGGAGAAACUCAUACGAGGAUGGUGUAUAUGGAACCACAUGCCCAAUUCCUCCAGGAAAGAACUUCACAUACAUUCUCCAAGUGAAGGACCAAAUAGGGAGCUUCUAUUACUUCCCUUCUCUUGGAUUCCACAAGGCUGCUGGUGGUUUUGGAGGAAUCAGAAUCCUUAGUCGCCCACGAAUUCCGGUUCCCUUCUCGGAUCCCGAUGGCGAUUACACUAUUCUUAUUGGAGAUUGGUACAAGUCUAAUCACACGGAUUUGAAGGCUAUUUUGGAUGGUGGUAACAGGCUACCAUUCCCUGAUGGAAUUCUCAUUAAUGGUCGCGGGCCUAAUGGUUAUUCACUUGCUGUUGAACGAGGAAAAACUUACAGGCUCAGAAUAUCAAAUGUUGGGUUGCAACAUUCACUCAACUUUCGCAUUCAGAAUCAUAAAAUGAAGUUGGUAGAAGUGGAGGGCACACACACUCUCCAGACUACCUACUCUUCACUUGACGUUCAUGUUGGCCAAUCUUACUCUGUUCUAGUAACAGCUGACCAGCCUGGACAAGACUACUACAUUGUGGUUUCUUCUCGGUUCACCACUCCCAUCCUCACCACCACUGGUGUUCUUCACUACAGCAACUCUGCUGGCCCUGUCUCUGGCCCACCCCCUGGUGGACCCACCAUUCAGGUUGACUGGUCUCUCAACCAGGCUCGCUCCAUUAGGACCAAUCUUACUGCAAGUGGACCAAGACCAAAUCCACAAGGAUCAUACCAUUAUGGUAUGAUCAACACAACCAGAACUAUCAGGUUCGCAAAUUCUGCUGGCCAAGUCAAUGGCAAACAGAGAUAUGCAGUGAACAGUGUGUCCUUUGUCCCAACAGACACCCCACUAAAGCUUGCAGACUACUUCAAAAUUCCGGGAGUUUUCCGCGAGAACAGCAUA